UGAUAUAUAUAUAUAUAUAAACCUCCUCAACAACCUUUCAAACCCAUCAAAUCAACUACCAGUCUCACCUACCCUUCCUCCCCAUAACGAGGUACCUAUCCUCCCUUCACAAACGUACAAAAGAAAAUCAAAUGAGAUGAGAGCACUACCUUAUCCAAACCUCUUUCACCAAUUUCCUUUCAGUGGACGGAAGCUUCCCACCACUUUACUCCUCUUACGCUUCCUAUAAAUUCCACACAAAUCAGCUCACUUCUGCAUCAACUAAAUUUCUCCCAUCACCUAAGCUCAAAAUGCAAAAGAAGGCGGCCAAGUUGGGCGUAAGUUUAGAGGAGGAAGAGGAGGAGGAGAAUGGAUUGAAGAGCCGCCAUGACAAGUUUACAGUGGUUAGUGUUUACGUGGUGUUUCAGCGGAAGACAUGCAAGACGCGGCGCCGCCAUGUUAUAGGAAGGUGAGGGUGGGUGCUUGCUUUCACGUGGCAGCAUACCCUCUGCUCAUCUACGCUCUCAUCUCCAUGCACUCAACUUUUGGAAUGUCUAGAUCUUAGUCUCUCUUGCUUUGUGCAAUAUCUAUGUUUGAAGUUCUUAGAAUGAACUCCACGCCUGCUUUUAGAAAUUGAUGUUGCCCUUGUCUUUCAUGUCUACGAUUCUAAUAUUCCCAAAUAUUUUGGGAAAAUUGUUAAAUUGUGAAGGUUUACUUUUUUUUAUAAUCAAUUUUCUAUUUUAGUAGCUCUUUAA